rnacentral:rRNA from 1 species
AUUGAACGCUGGCGGCAGGCCUAACACAUGCAAGUCGAGCGGAUGAGUGGAGCUUGCUCCAUGAUUCAGCGGCGGACGGGUGAGUAAUGCCUAGGAAUCUGCCUGGUAGUGGGGGACAACGUUUCGAAAGGAACGCUAAUACCGCAUACGUCCUACGGGAGAAAGCAGGGGAGCUUCGGGCCUUGCGCUUUCAGAUGAGCCUAGGUCGGAUUAGCUAGUUGGUGGGGUAAUGGCUCACCAAGGCGACGAUCCGUAACUGGUCUGAGAGGAUGAUCAGUCACACUGGAACUGAGACACGGUCCAGACUCCUACGGGAGGCAGCAGUGGGGAAUAUUGGACAAUGGGCGAAAGCCUGAUCCAGCCAUGCCGCGUGUGUGAAGAAGGUCUUCGGAUUGUAAAGCACUUUAAGUUGGGAGGAAGGGCAGUAAGCUAAUACCUUGCUGUUUUGACGUUACCGACAGAAUAAGCACCGGCUAACUCUGUGCCAGCAGCCGCCGUAAAAC